AUUGAACGCUGGCGGCAGGCUUAACACAUGCAAGUCGAGCGGGGUGAUGGUGCUUGCACUAUCACUUAGCGGCGGACGGGUGAGUAAUGCUUAGGAAUCUGCCUAUUAGUGGGGGACAACAUCUCGAAAGGGAUGCUAAUACCGCAUACGUCCUACGGGAGAAAGCAGGGGAUCACUUGUGACCUUGCGCUAAUAGAUGAGCGUAAGUCGGAUUAGCUAGUUGGUGGGGUAAAGGCCUACCAAGGCGACGAUCUGUAGCGGGUCUGAGAGUAUGCUCCGCCACACUGGAACUGAGACACGGCCCAGACUCCUACGUGAGGCAGCAGUGGCGAAUAUUGGCCAAUGUGGGGAACCCUGAUCCAGCCAUGCCGCGUGUGUGAAGAAGGCCUUAUGGUUGUAAAGCACUUUAAGCGAGGAGGAGUCUCUUUUGGUUAAUACCCAAGAUGAGUGGACGUUACUCGCAGAAUAAGCACCGGCUAACUCUGUGCCAGCCGCCGCCGUAA
rnacentral:rRNA from 1 species